rnacentral:rRNA from 1 species
AUUGAACGCUGGCGGCAUGCUUUACACAUGCUAGUCGAACGGUAACAGGCCGCAAGGUGCUGACGAGUGGCGAACGGGUGAGUAAUGCAUCGGAACGUGCCCAGUCGUGGGGGAUAACGCAGCGAAAGCUGCGCUAAUACCGCAUACGAUCUCUGGAUGAGAGCGGGGGACCGAAAGGCCUCGCGCGAUUGGAGCGGCCGAUGUCAGAUUAGGUAGUUGGUGGGGUAAAGGCCCACCAAGCCAACGAUCUGUAGCUGGUCUGAGAGGACGACCAGCCACACUGGGACGGAGACACGGCCCAGACUCCUACGGGAGGCAGCAGUGGGGAAUUUUGGACAAUGGGCGCAAGCCUGAUCCAGCAAUGCCGAGUGCAGGAAGAAGGCCUUCGGGUUGUAAACUGCUUUUGUACGGAACGAAACGGUCCGGGUUAAUACCCCGGGCUAAUGACGGUACCGUAAGAAUAAGCACCGGCUAACUACGUGCCAGCCGCCGCCGUAAAAC